CCUACGGGAGGCAGCAGUGGGGAAUAUUGCACAAUGGGGGAAACCCUGAUGCAGCGACGCCGCGUGAGUGAAGAAGUAAUUCGUUAUGUAAAGCUCUAUCAGCAGGGAAGAAAAUGACGGUACCUGAGUAAGAAGCCCCGGCUAACGACGUGCCAGCAGCCGCGGUAAUACGAAGGGGGCAAGCGUUAUCCGGAUUUACUGGGUGUAACGGGAGCGUAGACGGCAGUGCAAGUCGGGAGUGAAAGGCGGGGGCUCAACCCCCGGACUGCUCUGGAAACUGUACGGCUGGAGUGCAGGAGAGGUAAGUGGAAUUCCUAGUGUAGCGGUGACAUGCGUAGAUAUUAGGCGGCACCCCAGUGGCGAAGGCGGCUUACUGGACUGUACCUGACGUUGCGGCUCGACAGCGUGGGGAGCAAACAGGAUUAGAUCCCCCAGUAGUC
rnacentral:rRNA from 1 species